rnacentral:rRNA from 1 species
UGGGGAAUUUUGGACAAUGGGCGCAAGCCUGAUCCAGCAAUGCCGCGUGCAGGAUGAAGGCCUUCGGGUUGUAAACCGCUUUAGUCCGGGAAAAAGGGCUGACGUGCAAAUACCGCGUUGGUUUGAUGGUACUGGAAGAAUAAGCACCGGCUAACUACGUGCCAGCAGCCGCGGUAAUACGUAGGGUGCGAGCGUUAAUCGGAAUUACUGGGCGUAAAGCGCGCGCAGGCGGUCGUGUAAGACCCGGGCUUAACCUGGGAACUGCGAUUGUGACUGCAAGGCUAGAGUGUGUCAGAGGGGGGUGGAAUUCCACGUGUAGCAGUGAAAUGCGUAGAGAUGUGGAGGAACACCAAUGGAGAAGGCAGCCCCCUGGGUCGAUACUGACGCUCAUGCACGAAAGCGUGGGUAGCAAACA